AAAUACUUUAAAUUUAAAGAAUUUGGCGGUAGUUUAGUCUUUUCAGAGGAACCUGCUCUUUUAUCGAUAAACCACGUAGAAUUUUACUUAUUUUAUUAAAGUUUGUAUACCAUCAUUAGCAGAUAAUUUUAUAAAAGAUAAUUAUUAGGGUUAAUUAAAUUAAAAAAAUUAGAUCAAGGUGCAGCUGAUAAAUAAGUUAGAGUGGGUUACAAUAAUUUUUAUUUAUAUGGAAUAGAUUAGUAAGAUUGGUUUAGGAAGGUGGAUUUGAUUGUAAUAUAAAUUUAAUAAGUUUAUAAGAUAUUAGCUCUAAAUUAUGUACACAUCGCC
rnacentral:rRNA from 1 species